CACAAAAUGACUCUCGGCAACGGAUAUCUCGGCUCUUGCAUCGAUGAAGAACGUAGCGAAAUGCGAUACUUGGUGUGAAUUGCAGAAUCCCGUGAACCAUCGAGUCUUUGAACGCAAGUUGCGCCCAAAGCCAUUAGGUUGAGGGCACGCCUGCCUGGGUGUCACA
rnacentral:rRNA from 1 species